rnacentral:rRNA from 1 species
AUUGAACGCUGGCGGCAGGCCUAACACAUGCAAGUCGAACGAGUGGCGGACGGGUGAGUAAUGUCUGGGAAACUGCCUGAUGGAGGGGGAUAACUACUGGAAACGGUAGCUAAUACCGCAUACCAUCAGAUGUGCCCAGAUGGGAUUAGCUUGUUGGUGGGGUAACGGAUCACCACGGCGACGAUCCCUAGCUGGUCUGAGAGGAUGACAAGCCAGGAUGAAACGGAGAAAAGGUCCAGACACCAAGGGGAGGAAGCAGUGGGAAAGAUGGCACAUAGGGCGCAAGCCGAAUGGAGCAAGGCGGCGUGGAUGAAGAGGGCAUGCGGGGUAUAAAGUACGUUCAGCGGGGAGGCGUUACCCGCAGGAGAGGAACCGGCUAACUCCGGGCCAGCAGCCGCGGUAAUAC